rnacentral:rRNA from 1 species
CUAGAGAAACUGCCCGUGAUAAGCGGGAGGAAGGUGUGGAUGACGUCAAGUCCUCAUGGCCCUUACGGGUUGGGCUACACACGUGCUACAAUGGCAGUGACAAUGGGUUAAUCCCAAAAAGCUGUCUCAGUUCGGAUUGGGGUCUGCAACUCGACCCCAUGAAGUCGGAAUCGCUAGUAAUCGCGUAACAGCAUGACGCGGUGAAUACGUUCCCGGGCCUUGUACACACCGCCCGUCACACCAUGGGAGUUGGUUCUACCCGACGACGCUGCGCUAACCCUUCGGGGAGGCAGGCGGCCACGGUAGGAUCAGCGACUGGGGUGAAGUCGUAACAAGGUAGCCGUAAUCGA